rnacentral:pre_miRNA from 1 species
UUUCUACUCCCUCCGUCCGAAAAUACUUGUCAUCAAAAUGGAUAAAAAGAUAUGUAUCUAAAACUAAAAUACGUCUAGAUACAUUUCCUUUUAUCCAUUUUGAUGACAAGUAUUUCCGGAUGGAGGGAGUAUUUG